GGACCUGCUGAACCUGGGGCCCUAUAGGAGAGCACUGAUGGCCCACCCCUGAUUGUGGCCCUGGUCUUCAUGUCUGCAUCAGCCUCAGCCAUCUCAAGACCACAACGAGAACAUAGCAAAGUCAGAGAAGGAAGACCAAAAGCACCAGGGCCCUUCAUAUUAUUAAGCUGCUAAAUUAACUAAUCUUGGAAACUUCUAGACUCUACAAUUCUUGUUGUAUGAGAGUGGAUUGACAAUUAUUCUCUGGACUUUUUGGUAACCAAGAACUUCUAGCAACUAACCCUGGCAUGACCACCAGAAUCUGCAGGGCUGAGAGAAGAAAGAAAGGCAAAAGUGGAUGAAUGCAGCUGAAGAUGCUGUGGAACUCCUAUCACAUUCCAAGUGCUGUGUUGAUAUCUGGAGAUAUAGACAAGAUCGAAGCAGAUGCAGUCUUUCACAUGAAUAUUUGAAUCAGGCUCUUCCUGGAACAGCCUCCCAGCUUGGGUGCCUG
rnacentral:lncRNA from 1 species